UGGAUCCAGACUUUGAUCAUGGCUCAGGAUGAACGCUAGCUACAGGCCUAACACAUGCAAGUCGAGGGGCAGCAUUUUUCCAGCUUGCUGGAAAAGAUGGCGACCGGCGCACGGGUGAGUAACACGUAUCCAACCUUCCGUUUACUCAGGGACAGCCUUUCGAAAGAAAGAUUAAUACCUGAUAGUAUCGAGAGAUUGCAUGAUAGCCCGAUUAAAGAUUAAUCGGUAAACGAUGGGGAUGCGUUCCAUUAGCUUGUUGGCGGGGUAACGGCCCACCAAGGCGACGAUGGAUAGGGGUUCUGAGAGGAAGGUCCCCCACAUUGGAACUGAGACACGGUCCAAACUCCUACGGGAGGCAGCAGUGAGGAAUAUUGGUCAAUGGGCGAGAGCCUGAACCAGCCAAGUAGCGUGAAGGAUGAAGGUUCUAUGGAUUGUAAACUUCUUUUAUACGGGAAUAAAACCUCCCACGUGUGGGAGCUUGUAUGUACCGUAUGAAUAAGCAUCGGCUAACUCUGUGCCAGCAGCCGCGGUAAUACGGAGGAUGCGAGCGUUAUCCGGAUUUAUUGGGUUUAAAGGGAGCGCAGACGGGAGAUUAAGUCAGCUGUGAAAGUUUGCGGCUCAACCGUAAAAUUGCAGCUGAUACUGGUUUCCUUGAGUGCGGUUGAGGUGUGCGGAAUUCGUGGUGUAGCGGUGAAAUGCUUAGAUAUCACGAAGAACCCCGAUUGCGAAGGCAGCACACUAAGCCGUAACUGACGUUCAUGCUCGAAAGUGUGGGUAUCAAACAGGAUUAGAUACCCUGGUAGUCCACGCGGUAAACGAUGGAUACUCGCUGUUGGCGAUAUACAGUCAGCGGCCAAGCGAAAGCAUUAAGUAUCCCACCUGGGGGGUACGCCGGCAACGGUGCAACUCAAAGGAAUUGACGGA
rnacentral:rRNA from 1 species